GGCUGGAGAAGCCAGUGAGCUGCUCGUCAGGGAGGCCCAAAUCAUGUGUGAGCCAUACCAGGUGGAGGAGCCUCAAAGUAACUCCAGGCUGGCAUUAGAAGCCAUUGCUGUUUAGUGUUGCUUGUUCAGUUCUGGUCUGGAGUUUCUUCAUGUUGGUAAUACUAGUUUGCAGAUGAUUACUUUUGGCUGCUAUGGCUGGUUCUACACCUGCAGAAUCAAGAUGACCAAUGGAAAAACUAAAACUUCCAAGGUUCGGAAGUUCGGGUUGGUUCAAUAUGCAUUGGGCAAGAAACCCAGUGGAGACCGUGGUGCCAUGAAAGCAAACAAAAGGACGGUCCAGAGAAGACAACAGGAUCCUGCCUUGGGCUCCCUGGGAGCGGCCAAGCAACUUCAGCCUCCUGUGAAAAUUGAGAGGGAAGACCCUUUCUCAGUACUGCUUUUCAUGUCAUGCUGUGUGAAAAGUCUAAUAAAAUGUUAGAAUGCCUGACUGUUGGUUAACUGCAUCUGCUGCUAAUAUGUACUGAACUAAUCAAGUUUUUAUCUGCGCUUUCCCAGUGUGUAAAAAGAUGCAUCCUUGUGAGUGUUUAAAUAUUUCUUGUUUGCUAAAGUACUGUUGUGCUACCACACAGGAUGAUUCAGAGAACACUACAUGCUCCUGCUUCAGGGGCAAGCAGCUUUAGCCUCCUUUGGAAAUUGCCAAAUGCUCCUGCCAAAUUAGCGAUUUGACUAACGGGUAAGACUUUUUUUUCCCAGUAAUGGUUAUGUAAUGCUUGUCAUGCAGGCUGUGUGACGGGUCUAGAAAAAUGUUUUAAAUGGUAUGAUUGCAUAAUGUACUUGCGGUGCUUCUUGUCUUUGGUUGUAUUUCCUGAACUAUUCGGUUUUAACGAUUUUCCAUUCGCCAAUGUUUUAGGUGAAAGAUUGUGUUAGUGUUUAAGACUGUUCUGAAUAAGUUGCAUGAAGUAGUCUUGUUAUUUCUUGCAAAA
ensembl:lncRNA